rnacentral:hammerhead_ribozyme from 1 species
AACUUGCUGACGAGUGCCCGGAUAGCACGAAACCUAGGUCCAGGGU